rnacentral:rRNA from 1 species
AUUGAACGCUGGCGGCAUGCCUUACACAUGCAAGUCGAACGGCAGCACGGGAGCAAUCCUGGUGGCGAGUGGCGAACGGGUGAGUAAUAUAUCGGAACGUGCCCAGUCGUGGGGGAUCACGUAGCGAAAGCUACGCUAAUACCGCAUACGAUCUAUGGAGGAAAGCGGGGGAUCGCAAGACCCAGGGCGAUUGGAGCGCCCGAUAUCAGAUUAGGUAGUUGGUGGGGUAAAGGCUCACCAAGCCGACGAUCUGUAGCUGGUCUGAGAGGACGACCAGCCACACUGGGACUGAGACACGGCCCAGACUCCUACGGGAGGCAGCAGUGGGGAAUUUUGGACAAUGGGCGCAAGCCUGAUCCAGCAAUGCCGCGUGCAGGAUGAAGGCCUUCGGGUUGUAAACUGCUUUUGUACGGAGCGAAAAGGCUCUCUCUAAUACAGGGGGCUCAUGACGGUACCGUAAGAAUAAGCACCGGCUAACUACGUGCCAGCAGCCGCAGUAA